rnacentral:rRNA from 1 species
UACGUAGGGUGCGAGCGUUGUCCGGAAUUAUUGGGCGUAAAGGGCUCGUAGGCGGUUUGUCGCGUCAGGAGUGAAAACUCGGGGCUUAACCCCGAGCCUGCUUCUGAUACGGGCAGACUAGAGGUAUGCAGGGGAGAACGGAAUUCCUGGUGUAGCGGUGAAAUGCGCAGAUAUCAGGAAGAGCACCCGUGGCUAAGGCGGCUCUCUAGUACGGUACUGACGCUGAGACGCGAAAGCGUGGGGAGCGAACAGG